rnacentral:rRNA from 1 species
GACGAACGCUGGCGGCGUGCCUAAUACAUGCAAGUCGAACGCACAGUUUAUACCGUAGCUUGCUACACCAUAGACUGUGAGUUGCGAACGGGUGAGUAACGCGUAGCUAACCUGCCUGGUAGCAGGUGAUAACUAUUGGAAACGAUAGCUAAUACCUCAUAAUAUUGAUUAUUCCAUGAUAAUUGAUUGAAAGAUGCUAUUGCAUCACUACAAGCUGGACCUGCGUUGUAUUAGCUAGUAUGGGAGGUAACGGCCCACCUAGGCGACGGUACAUAGCCGACCUGAGAGGGGGAACGGCCAAACUGGGAAUGGGACACGGCCCAGACUUCUGAGGGAGGCAGCAGGAGGGAAACCUUGGCAAUGGAGGAAAGGCUGGACGAGCAACGCCGGGGGGGGGAAGAAGGGUUUCGGGUCGGAAAGAUCCGUUGUAAGGGAAGAAAGGGUGUGAGAGUGGAAAGUUCACACUGUGACGGUACCUAACCAGAAAGCGACGGCUAACUACGUG